GACGAACCACACGAACGUUAUUCGGAAUUACUGGGCUUAAAGGGUGCGUAGGCUGUGCAGAAAGUUAGGUGUGAAAUCCCCCGGCUCAACCGGGGAAUUGCGCUUAAAACUACUGUGCUCGAGGAAGAUAGAGGUGAGCGGAACUUAGGGUGGAGCGGUGAAAUGCGUUGAUAUCCUAAGGAACACCGGUGGCGAAAGCGGCUCACUGGAUCCUAUCUGACGCUGAGGCACGAAGGCCAGGGGAGCAAACGGG
rnacentral:rRNA from 1 species